rnacentral:misc_RNA from 1 species
GCAACAAGAAUAUUACUGAAACAGGUUUGUUUUUCUGUAUAACACCAUGGCCAACCAAAGAAUGAUCUAUUCUAAUAAAUUGUAGAAAAAAUAAAAUAAAGUCUAAAUUUAUUUUGCAAUAAUUUCAAAAUUUGAAGUUAAAAUUUGUAUUAUCAUGUUAAUAUCUAGAGAAAUAAAUUAAUUAUAGUUCAUGCUUGUAUUUUAUCAAUGUUAACGUUCCUCUUAUUUGUAUUAGGCAUUUCAUUAUGAUUGUUGAGGCAUUUUGGGUUGCUAAUCCACUCCCCACCCUU